rnacentral:tRNA from 1 species
GCCUCCCAAGCUCAGACGGCAGAGCGCCGGUGUGAAGAACCGGAGGUUGUCCGUUCGACCCGGACGGGAGGCACCA